CAGCAGCCGCGGGAAUACGUAGGUGGCAAGCGUUGUCCGGAAUUAUUGGGCGUAAAGGGCUCGCAGGCGGUUUCUUAAGUCUGAUGUGAAAGCCCCCGGCUCAACCGGGGAGGGUCAUUGGAAACUGGGAAACUUGAGUGCAGAAGAGGAGAGUGGAAUUCCACGUGUAGCGGUGAAAUGCGUAGAGAUGUGGAGGAACACCAGUGGCGAAGGCGACUCCCUGGUCUGUAACUGACGCUGAGGAGCGAAAGCGUGGGGAGCGAACAGGAUUAGAGACCCCCGUAGUCCCUGUCUCUUAUAC
rnacentral:rRNA from 1 species